rnacentral:lncRNA from 1 species
UUUUUUGCCUAUUUCAGUGUUUCGAAGGAAAAGGAUAUCAAACGGAGUCCAAACGGAAUGAAACCUUCGGGAACGUGAUUUUCGGAACAAACGUGAUCCAGAGGACUUGGAGUGGAUGUCAAGCAACCAACGAGGAAGCCACGAGGUAGGGGCGCGCCCUCCACCCUCGUGGGCCCCUCGUGGCUCCACCGACCUACUUCUUCCUCCUAUAUAUACCUACGUACCCCAAAACCAUCAGAGGCAAAGCCAAAACCCUAUUUCCACCGCCGCAACCUUCUGUACCCGUGAGAUCCCAUCUUGGGGCCUUUUCCGGCGCUCCGCCGGAGGGGGCAUUGAUCACGGAGGGCUUCUACAUCAACACCAUAGCCUCUCCGAUGAUGUGUGAGUAGUUUACCUCUGACCUUCGGGUCAUAGUUAUUAGCUAGAUGACUUAUUCUUUCUUUUUGGAUCUCAAUACAAAGUUCUCCUCAAUUCUCUUGGAGAUCUAUUUGAUGUAACUCUUCUUUUGCGGUGUGUUUAUCGAGAUCCGAUGAAUUGUGGGUUUAUGAUCAAGAUUAUCUAUGAACAAUAUUUAAAUCUCCUCUGAAUUCUUUUAUGUAUGAUUGGUUAUCUUUGCAAGUCUCUUCGAAUUAUCAGUUUGGUUUGGCCUACUAGAUUGAUCUUUCUUGCAAUGGGAGAAGUGCUUAGCUUUGGGUUCAAUCUUGCGGUGCUCGAUCCCAGUGACAGUAGGGGAAAUGACACGUAUUGUAUUGUUGCCAUCGAGGAUAAAAAGAUGGGGUUUAUAUCAUAUUGCAUGAGUUUAUCCCUUUACAUCAUGUCAUCUUGCUUAAAGCGUUACUCCGUUCUUAUGAACUUAAUGCUCUAGAUGCAUGCUGCAUAGCGGUCGAUGUGUGGAGUAAUAGUAGUAGAUGCAGGCAGGAGGCGGUCUACGUGUCACGGACGUGAUGCCUAUAUACAUGAUCAUGCCUAGAUAUUCUCAUAACUAUGCUCAAUUCUAUCAAUUGCUCGACCGUAAUUCAUUUACCCACCGUAAUACUUAUGCUAUCUUGAGAGAAGCCACUAGUGAAACCUAUGGCCCCUGGGUCUAUUUUCCAUCAUAUUAAUCUACCGUCAACAAGCUAUUUCUUUCGCCGUUUAUUUUGCUCUCUUUACUUUUAGUCUUUAUCAUAAAAAUACCAAAAAUAUUAUCUUAUCAUCUCUAUCAGAUCUCACUUUUGCAAGUGGCCAUGAAGGGAUUGACAACCCCUUUAUCGCGUUGGUUGCAAGGUUCUUAUUUGUUUGUGUAGGUGCGUGGGACUUGAGCGUGGCCUCCUACUGGAUUGAUACCUUGGUUCUCAAAAACUGAGGGAAAUACUUACGCUACUUUACUGCAUCACCCUUUCCUCUUCAAGGGAAAACCAACGCAGUGCUCAAGAGGUAGCAAGAAGGGUUUCUGGCGCCGUUGCCGGGGAGUUUACGCACAAGUCAAGACAUACCAAGUACCCAUCACAAACUCUUAUCCCUCGCAUUACAUUAUUUGCCAUUUGCCUCUCGUUUUCCUCUCCCCCACUUCACCUUUGCCUUUUCUUCGCCCUCCUUCUGUUCGAUCUUGUGUUAUCAUGUGCCUUCUGUUUGCUUGCAUCUUCGCUUGCUAAAAGUUUAUGGAUCCUCAUCCCCUUGCUAAUCUUUUUAAGAGAUCCAAUUAUGAUGAACCAAUUUCUAGUGAUUUGAGUGCACUAGAUUAUCUUUAUGAGGUUUUGCUUGAAAUUCGUGAAUCUGAAAAUUGCGAUGAAGUAAUUUAUGAAGUGAUUCACGAUAGCUCCUUGAAUAAAAAACAUGAUUGCAAUAAUUUUACUAUAAAUUCUCUUGAUGUCAAUUGUGCUAAUAAUAUGCAAAACCCUAAGCUUGGGGAUGCUAGUUUUGCUAUGAAUACUAUUUGUUGCAAUGAUCAUGAUUGGGGUGAUUCUUCUUUUGAUCUUGAAAAUUUAUUUAAGCCCCAUGAUGAAUAUGAGAUUGAUAAUAGUGUUUGCAAUAUUAUUGAAAGUGGGUUUGGAAGAUUUUCAACUUUAGAUCCCACAUAUUUGGAGAAUGUUCAAUCUUAUGAAAUUUUUGAUAAAAGUGGGUUUGGAGAGGUCAUGACUUUAGUUAAUGUUAAUCCCACUAUUUUGGAAGAGUGUCAACUUCGCAUGCAUGUGGAUCGUGUUGAGAAUAUGUUAUGUGAUAGCUAUUUUGUUGAAUUUUCUUAUGAUCCUACAUGUAAUUAUUAUGAGAGAGGAAAAUAUGGUUGUAGAAAUUUUCAUGUUACUAAAUUACCUCUCGUUAUGUUGAGAUUGCUAUUGUUUCUUUCCACUUCCUUGCAUAUGCUAGUUUUUGCUUGCCUUGAUAAUUUGUUUGCUUAUAAAAUGCCUAUGCAUAGGAAGUAUGUUAGACUUAGAUGUGUUUGUCACGUGUUUUACGAUGCUCUUUUUGCGCUUUAAUUCUUAUCUUUUAUGUGAGCAUCAUUGAAAUCUCAAUGCCUAGCUAAAAGGGCUUUAAAGAAAAGCGCUUGUUGGGAGACAACCCAAUAUUUAUCCUUGCCGUUUAGUAAUAAAUAUUUGAUCUAGCCUCUGGUUAGAUUUGUUUUAAUGUUUUAAUUAGUGUUUGUGCCAAGUGAAACCUAUAGGAUCUUCUUGGAUGAUAGUUAUUUGAUCUUGCUGAAAAUUCAGAAACUUUCUGUUCACGAAAGCAAUUGUUAAAAAUCACGAGAACGUGAUAAAAUACUGAUUCCAAUUGCAGAAGAUCAAUAAACAAAUUAUCUAGGUCUUCCUAUUUUGGUAGAUUUUUCUAAGUUCCAGAAGUUUGUGUUAGUUACAGAUUACUACAGACUGUUCUGUUUUUGACAGAUUCUGUUUUUCGUGUGUUGUUUGCUUAUUUUGAUGAGUCUAUGGUUAGUAAAAUAGUUUAUAAACCAUAUAGAAGUUGGAAUACAGUAGGUUUAACACCAAUAUAAAUAAAUAAUUAUUUCAAUACAGUACCUUGAAGUGGUGUUUUGUUUUCUUUCGCUAACGGAGCUCACGAGAUUUUCUGUUAAGUUUUGUGUUGUGAAGUUUUCAAGUUUUGGGUAAGGAUUUGAUGGAUUAUGGAACAAGGAGUGGCAAGAGCCUAAGCUUGGGGAUGCCCACGGCACCCCAAGGUAAAUCUAAGGACACUAAAAAGCUAAAGCUUGGGGAUGCCCCGGAAGGCAUCCCCUCCUUCGUCUUCGUCCAUCGGUAACUUUACUUGGAGCUAUAUUUUUAUUCACCACAUGAUAUGUGUUUUGCUUGGAGCGUCUUGUAUGAUUUGAGUCUUUGCUUUUUAGUUUACCACAAUCAUCCUUGCUUUACACACCUUUUGAGAGAGACACACAUGAUUCAGAAUUUAUUAGAAUACUCUAUGUGCUUCACUUAUAUCUUUCGAGCUAUAUAGUUUUUGCUCUAGUGCUUCACUUAUAUCUUUUAGAGCACGGUGGUGGUUUUGUUUUAUAGAAACUAUUGUUCUCUCAUGCUUCACUUAUAUCAUUUUUGAGAGUCCUACAAAACAGCAUGGUAAUUUGCUUAAAUUGUGAAAUUAGUCCUAAUAUGAUAGGCAUCCAAGAUUAGUAAAAACUUUCUUAUAAGUGCGUUGAAUCCUAAGAAAAGUUUGAUGCUUGAUGAUUGUUUUGAGAUAUGGAGGUAGUAAUAUUAAAGUUGUGCUAGUUGAGUAGUUGUGAAUUUGAGAAAUACUUGUUCUAAAGUUUGUGAUUCCCGUAGCAUGCACGUAUGGUGAACCGUUAUGUGAUGAAGUCAGAGCAUGAUUUAUUUAUUGAUUGUCUUCCUUAUGAGUGGCGGUCGGGGACGAGCGAUGGUCUUUUCCUACCAAUCUACCCCCCUAGGAGCAUGCGCGUAGUACUUUGUUUCGAUAACUAAUAGAUUUUUGCAAUAAGUAUGUGAGUUCUUUAUGACUAAUGUUGAGUCCAUGGAUUAUACGCACUCUCAUCCUUCCACCAUUGCUAGUCUCUCUAAUACCGCGCACCUUUCGCCGGCAUCAUAUACCCACCAUAUACCUUCCUCAAAACAGCCACCAUACCUACCUAUUAUGGCAUUUCCAUAGCCAUUCCGAGAUAUAUUGCCAUGCAACUUACCACCGUUCCUUAUAUUAUGACACGCUUCGUCAUUGUCAUAUUGCUUUGCAUGAUCAUGUAGUUGACAUCGUAUUUGUGGCAAAGCCACCAUUCAUAAUUUUCAUACAUGUCACUCUUGAUUCGUUGCAUAACCCGGUACUCCGCCGGAGGCAUUCACAUAGAGUCAUACUUUGUUCUAAGUAUUGAGUUGUAAUUCUUGAGUUGUAAGAAAAUAAAAGUGUGAUGAUCAUCAUUAUUAGAGCAUUGUCCCAAGUGAGGAAAGGAUGAUGGAGACUAUGAUUCGCCCACAAGUCGGGAUGAGACUCCAGACGAAAAAAGAGGCCAAAGAAAAAAAAGAGAAAAGGCCCAAAUAAAAAAAAUGAGAGAAAAAGAGAGAAGGGACAAUGUUACUAUCCUUUUCCACACUUGUGCUUCAAAGUAGCACCAUGAUCUUCAUGAUAGAGAGUCUCCUAUGUUGUCACUUUCAUAUACUGGUGGGAAUUUUACAUUAUAGAACUUGGCUUGUAUAUUCCAAUGAUGGGCUUCCUCAAAAUGCCCUAGGUCUUCGUGAGCAAGCGAGUUGGAUGCAUACCCACUUAUUUUCUUUAGUUGAGCUUUCAUACACUUAUAGCUCUAGUGCAUCAGUUGCAUGGCAAUCCCUACUCACUCACAUCAAUAUCUAUUGAUGGGCAUCUCCAUAGCCUGUGGAUACGCCUAGUUGAUGUGAUCCUAUCUUCUCCUUUUUGUCUUCUCCACAAGCACCAUUCUAUUCCACAUAUAGUGCUAUGUCCAUGGCUCACGCUCAUGUAUUGCGUGAAGAUUGAAAAAGUUUGAGAACAUCAAAAGUAUGAAACAAUUGCUUGGCUUGUCAUCGGGGUUGUGCAUGAUUAAAUACUUUGUGUGAUGAAGAUAGAGCAUAGCCAGACUAUAUGAUUUUGUAGGGAUAACUUUCUUUGGCCAUGUUAUUUUGAGAAGACAUAAUUGCUUAGUUAGUAUGCUUGAAGUAUUAUUACUUUUAUAUCAAUAUUAAACUUUUAUCUUGAGUCUUUUGGAUCUGAAUAUUCAUACCACAAAUAAGAGAAUUACAUUGAAAAUUAUGCUAAGUAGCAUUCCACAUCAAAAAUUCCGUUUUUAUCAUUUACCUACUCGAGGACGAGCAGGAAUUAAGCUUGGGGAUGCUUGAUACGUCUCCAACGUAUCUAUAAUUUUUGAUUGCUCCAUGCUAUAUUAUAUUUUGUUUUGGAUGUUUAAUGGGCUUUAUUAUACACUUUUAUAUUAUUUUUGGGACUAACCUAUUAACCAGAGGCCCAGCCCGAAUUGCUGUUUUUUUGCCUAUUUCAGUGUUUCGAAGGAAAAGGAUAUCAAACGGAGUCCAAACGGAAUGAAACCUUCGGGAACGUGAUUUUCGGAACGAACAUGAUCCAGAGGACUUGGAGUGGACGUCAAGCAACCAACGAGGAAGCCACGAGGCAGGGGGGCGCGCCUACCCACCCUGGGCGGACCCUCCACCCUCGCGGGCCCCUCGUGGCUCCACCGACCUACUUCUUCCUCCUAUAUAUACCUACGUACCCCAAAACCAUCAGAGGCAGAGCCAAAACCCUAUUUCCACCGCCGCAACCUUCUGUACCCGUGAG